rnacentral:rRNA from 1 species
ACGAACGCUGGCGGCGUGCCUAAUACAUGCAAGUCGAACGCUUCUUUUUCCAUCGGAGCUUGCUCCACCGGAAAAAGAGGAGUGGCGAACGGGUGAGUAACACGUGGGUAACCUGCCCAUCAGAAGGGGAUAACACUUGGAAACAGGUGCUAAUACCGUAUAACAAUCGAAACCGCAUGGUUUUGAUUUGAAAGGCGCUUUCGGGUGUCGCUGAUGGAUGGACCCGCGGUGCAUUAGCUAGUUGGUGAGGUAACGGCUCACCAAGGCGACGAUGCAUAGCCGACCUGAGAGGGUGAUCGGCCACAUUGGGACUGAGACACGGCCCAAACUCCUACGGGAGGCAGCAGUAGGGAAUCUUCGGCAAUGGACGAAAGUCUGACCGAGCAACGCCGCGUGAGUGAAGAAGGUUUUCGGAUCGUAAAACUCUGUUGUUAGAGAAGAACAAGGAUGAGAGUAACUGUUCAUCCCUUGACGGUAUCUAACCAGAAAGCCACGGCUAACUACGUGCCAGCAGCCGCGGUAAUACGUAGGUGGCAAGCGUUGUCCGGAUUUAUUGGGCGUAAAGCGAGCGCAGGCGGUUUCUUAAGUCUGAUGUGAAAGCCCCCGGCUCAACCGGGGAGGGUCAUUGGAAACUGGGAGACUUGAGUGCAGAAGAGGAGAGUGGAAUUCCAUGUGUAGCGGUGAAAUGCGUAGAUAUAUGGAGGAACACCAGUGGCGAAGGCGGCUCUCUGGUCUGUAACUGACGCUGAGGCUCGAAAGCGUGGGGAGCAAACAGGAUUAGAUACCCUGGUAGUCCACGCCGUAAACGAUGACUACUAGGUGUCGGGUGGCAAAGCCAUUCGGUGCCGCAGCCAACGCAAUAAGUAGUCCACCUGGGGAGUACGUUGGCAAGAAUGAAACUCAAAUGAAUUGACGGGGGCCCGCACAAGCGGUGGAGCAUGUGGUUUAAUUCGAAGCAACGCGAAGAACCUUACCAGGUCUUGACAUCCUUUGACCACUCUAGAGAUAGAGCUUCCCCUUCGGGGGCAAAGUGACAGGUGGUGCAUGGUUGUCGUCAGCUCGUGUCGUGAGAUGUUGGGUUAAGUCCCGCAACGAGCGCAACCCUUAUUGUUAGUUGCCAUCAUUUAGUUGGGCACUCUAGCAAGACUGCCGGUGACAAACCGGAGGAAGGUGGGGAUGACGUCAAAUCAUCAUGCCCCUUAUGACCUGGGCUACACACGUGCUACAAUGGGAAGUACAACGAGUCGCAAAGUCGCGAGGCUAAGCUAAUCUCUUAAAGCUUCUCUCAGUUCGGAUUGUAGGCUGCAACUCGCCUACAUGAAGCCGGAAUCGCUAGUAAUCGCGGAUCAGCACGCCGCGGUGAAUACGUUCCCGGGCCUUGUACACACCGCCCGUCACACCACGAGAGUUUGUAACACCCGAAGUCGGUGAGGUAACCUUUUGGAGCCAGCCGCCUAAGGUGGGAUAGAUGAUUGGGGUG